GGCCCUCGGCUGGGAGAGGGGCCGAGGGGAGCCGAGCGCGUCGGGCCCCUUCCCCCAUCUCGGCCAACAUCCUCGGGAGCUGCUCCCUCGGCGUGCGGGUGCAGUGUCCGGCACAAACUUGGCUGGGAUUCCCCGGGGGGGGUUGCUGUGACGAUAUGUCACGGCAGCGUGAGGAAGCGGGUCCAACGUCUCGGGCUUUGUGAACCGAGCCCGUCAGGAGGUGACGCGUUGCUUGUGCUUCGCUGUGGAAGGGCGCUGCGAAGGAGCGCGCCCGCAGCCCCGUCCGGCAAAGAAGGUCGAACCUGAAAAAAAAGUGAAGUGCUGCGCAAGGGAUACGCGCUUGGCUGGAUUGUGAGAAACUGUGAAGAUCGUACAAUCCACAGAAGGAAGAAGUUAUUCGGUACCUGCUCUGAAAAAUCUGUCUUGAAGGGAAGCUGAAUGGAAACGUGAAAGUCAGCACCUUGCUUCCUCGGCAGGUGAACUCUGUGACUGCAGCGGCGUUUCCCUCCCUCCCUCCCUGCCUCCCCCGGGCUGCGCGUUGGGAAGUUCCAGUGAAAUAUAGCUGCUGUGGAAAGUCCUGCUCACAGCGAGGAGACGUGACCUCUCGGCGAGUCAGAUCCAAUUUUACAGGCAGCUCUGAGUCAGGGUGGAGCCCGUGAACUGAACUUUGUAUUUAAGAAGGAAGUGAUGUUGGUGGCUGCUUGUGUUGCUAAGCAGAUGAGUUGCUGUAUUUUUAUGUCAGCUGAUAGUUUCGUCGGGUGUGUGACUUCAUUCUUAGAUAUGAUGCCUUCCAUUUAUUAAGGACAAAGGUCAGAAAUUGUCAGCGCUGUGAUAGCUGUGUCUCUCCAUAUAAGAAGAGGCAUGUUCUACUGAGCCGUCAAAGAUGGAAAUGGGAGUCCUUAAUGCUGCUUCUGCACCGUGAAAACAAAACCGACCGUGAAACUGUCAGUUUGUGUCACGGUCCAAGAGUGAACGUCCUCACAAGCAGGGAUGUCGUGGAGUAGGUUCGUUCCCUGGUGUUGCUCCAUUUUUAUAACUCACUACUGUUCCCGAUUAAAGAGGUGGCCUGUCUAACCAAGUGUCUUGUCUCCAGUAGCAAUGGGAACUGGGGGGCUGAGCUGAGCAGUCGGGCACUGGCCUGCUAAAUCGGAGUUUAGAUGGAAAGCUGAGGGAUCCUGCCUCUUACUUUGGUAAACUAAGCAGUGAGUCUAUUUGGGAAGGAGAGCGAGUGGUUUAUCACCUCUGUGCUGCUGGCAUUCCAGUGGGUGCUGCCUUCCAGCUGUCCAGAUUGUCAUGGGCACGUGGCAGUACGCAGGCAGCGUUUCUGAGAGACUUGA